CGAAAGUUAAGAAUGAGUCAUAAAAUAGCAGAUGUUAAAUUUGUCAUUUGUUUUGUCAUUAGGAAGAAAUGACAAAUAAUAUACAUAAAUAAAUGAAGCUCGACUGUCGCUUAUAGAGGUUAUCUUAUCUUUAUAAGUAGCAGUCUCACUUACGGAGGUCCAUGAGGGAAAAACGACUCCCUCUUACAGAGGUUUCUGUUUCUCGCUAA